UUGGAGAAGAAGGUUUUUUAGCUUUGGGUUUUCUCUUCUUGUUGCCUUUGCCAGUGUCGGGAGAGGCAGCAGCGCGAGGGAUAAAGAAGGUAGUACUCUGACAAGGAGAGGAUUGCCAUUUCAUCCAGUUGGGGUAGCUGUUAAGACUGUUCCUUAAACUGGUUGAAGGGCUUAAUGCUGUUGCAGUUGCAGCGCUCAUUGCUGCUUUUUUUUCCUCAAAUCAAUCCACUGGAAGGUUAAAGAACAGGAAAAAAGGCCCUGAAAACAGAAAUUACAUACAUAUAUAUAUGUGUGUAUUAUUGCGAAGUGGAUAAUUAUGAAAAGAUGACAUUUCUUUUUCUUGAAAAGAAAUUAAGAAGAAAGGUAGGGUGGUGGAGGGCUGAGAGAUCAAAAUCAAAGGAAGAAGCCAAACAAAGGCAAAUGAAAACCACAAAAAGGGUUUCGGGAACAAUAGUACGUAAUGUUUGAGCCAAUAAGCGCGCCACGUUGAGUCACUUGUUUCCUUUCAUUCCUUGGACACGGCAUGAACCGGAUCAAAUUACGGAAAGCAUUCAGAUUUAAAUAUAUUUUUUAAAAUUGUUGGUAAUUAAAUUCAAAUAAUUUUAUUUUAUACCGAUAAUAAAUAAAAUUGAGUUGCAAUCCCUAAAUGCUGCAAUUGAAAAUGACAACUUAAGGCAGAUCACAUAUGAUCAAAGUUAUUUUGGUUAUUACAAUUUCACCUCAUUUCAGAUCCUGACAUUAUUGCUUUACAUUGAACAAAUUCUGAUUGUUCAUAUUUCUCCGUCAAAUUGAGUGAUGGAAUUGAAAAAAGAAAUUCUUACAUUGGGCGGGCCGUAAUAUAUACAGAAUUCCAUAGUACUGAUAUUAAAAAUGAAUUGAUGCAGUUCUCCAAUGCUUCUACUUAUUUUUCCAUCUUAAACAUAAAGAAGCCAUUCUACAAAAAGGGGUGUCAAUGUUCCAAGAACAAAAGGGAAAAAAACCCAAAAAAAAAAGAUAUUGAAACUAAGCUCCCUCAAUCCAACAUUCCUCUGUAAGAAGCAAUUUCGACAGAUUUAGAACAAUUAUAACACAUUCGCCACCAAAGGGAUGGCAAUGAAUACAAAAAAUAAAAAACUAAAAAUAAUAACCAGAUUGGGGCAUUGACACACAUCUAUAAUUUGAGCUCCAAGGAGAGGCGAGGCAAGGCAAGGCGGCAUAGUAAGCAACUGUUGCAGGCUGAUCAGAUCUAUAAAAACUUCAUCAACUUGGUUUUAGGGAAUCUGGUCACGUGUUUUAUGAAUGAAAGAAUUGUGCGCUAAGAAGCCAUCACUAAUCAAUCUGUUUGUAGUUUUCUAUGCCCAUAUACCCUUCUGAGCUUCUAGAGAUCCACCGGCUUUCCCCAUCAGGCCUAGUUGCAAGAAGUGAACCAAUGGAGCAGCACAAAAACUAUUUUCUACCUGCCUUUCUAGGAGAGACCAUUUUCAUCAAAAUCCAAAUUUAUAUUUACAAUUUGGUUUUAGUUACGCAGAGUUACCAGCAACCUCUGCUGCUCUUUGUCUCAUCAUCUCCAUCACAGCAGCCCUUCGCCGAGAAUCAGACUGCUGUUGAAGCCUCCUCAAAUGUUCCUUAAGAUCUCUGUAUUCAUUUUAAUAAAUAAAUAAAUAAAUAAAAGUGUCAAAUUUAAAUUAUAUCACUUAGCCCAAACAGAGAAAGGGGCAUAACAUAUGGGUGCUCAGGAGGGUUAGAGGCAUAUGCAUGUACCUGCAACGUGGUACAUGGCAUUCAGAUUCUUUGCAUGCUCGAGCAUGAAGUUGUAGUAGAUACCACAUUUUCUUGCAAAGUACACAACCACCAGAAGCACGUUUUUUGCAUUGUAUUCCAUGGCGGAAAAGCCCCUUCACUUUCCGACAAUUUGGGUAUUGGCAAUGUGCAGAACGACAUUGUGAUGCAUGAACCAAAAGGUCAAGCAUUUUCCUCAGCUGCAAAUUUCAAGAACCAAUCUUGUUAUGGUCAUAUACUCAAUUUUCCAACCAUCUACUCACCAAAUCAGAAGGAAAAUAAUAUAUUUGGGGAACAUAAAUACAUUACUUAGCAUAUUUCAAUAGACAAGUGCAAGUGCCAAUAUCAUCUCAGAAACAUCCAGUUAGAGAGUUCUUUAGUCACACGUUCCUAUUUUAUCAAGUCAUUUACAGACAAACACCAUUUCUGAUUUUCUAUUUGAUGUUUAUAUACACAAUUGACCAGCAGGAAAAACAGAUAUAUGUAGAUGCAUUUAUGUUUUUAUGAGAUUUCCCUGAUUAACCACACUCAACUAAUCAAAGAGUUAAGACAAUCUUUUUUAUUAUGGAAGAGUUCAAUAAAUUUAUUAAAAAUGAUUUACCUGCACAACCCGUAGUUGCCUAGCCUCUUUAUUUUGUGCAUCACGUUCAGCCAAGGAUGGAUGAUUCGUUAACUUAUGAGGAUGAUCAAUGCCCCCAUCCUUGUAGUAACAGGAGUUGCACACAUCAUAAUCAGGGCACACUUCACAGCGCCAGCCUUGACCAGUUUCAAUGUCCAGAUGGCAUACAUUACAGGUUGUGACAAAUGCAGGGGCAGUUGGAUUGUGCAGAUGGUAAAGAACCAUCAUUGAGGAAUGUUUGGCCCGCCUUAGGGUAUCAUACUGAUAAUGAUUCCCUUGACAAAGACUCAAAAAUGCCUGCCUAGUAUCGAAGAAUUCACUCUCAAGAAUUUCAUCUCUAUCCUUUGUAUCAGUAGGUACAUCAGUAAUUUCAACCUGCACCGGAACAAUUUUCCACAAAAUUCAAUUAGCAAAGAAAAGACAGUCUGCAUACAGAAGCAGCAUCAGGCACAAACACUCAAAGUAAAUUACUGUAACACUUUGACAAACUUACUGGAUAGAGAACAUGUUUUUCCCUCUGAUUGAAGGGAUGUCUCUCUCUUUCUUCACGUUUCUGCUCUGUUUCAUAGCACCUGUGAAGGGAUAAAGAAGCAACCAUCAAAUCCAUUUAUCCAGGACAUUUUCUCCUAGUUGACAGUAGCAGAGUGAAAUAAGAACAGAAAAGAUUAAAGAUAUGAAUUGCGUCAUUAAGCUUCUAAUCAGAAGGGGAGUUGAGUACUGAAACAGGAAAUAUAACCACUUCUAAGAGCUCAAGGAUCAGUCUUCUUUUCCCUAAAAGCAGAGGAACAAAUGUAAUAAUCUGACUUAAACUGAGGGGAAAAACCUCUCUAUAACAUCACUUGAGUAAAUUCAUACCAUUAGAAUUAACAUGUCAACUGCCAGGACCAGGGUAAUGGUAACUACCUAGACAUUCUUUUCUUUUUCCCCAAAAUAUGAAUAUUCUCUUUUGCCAAAAACAUCAGGCCCGGCCAGAGGAUAAUUCAACAAUAAAUUCCUGGUAACUUAACAAGAUAGCUCAUCAUUCAACAUGACCAGCCAACAGUGGGAUCUUUCACAACUAAAAUAGUGGCACCAUGGGUUGAAAGUUUAGCAUGCUUUCUAUUACCGUAAAGCUGAGCAAUCUAAUGCUUAUAUAGAAUGUAAUGCCCAAUUCUGAGCAAAAAUAAAAGUAAAAAUAACAAAAAUAAUGCCAAGGAGUUAUAUGUCUAGCAUACCAAUGGAUUAGUAACAAUUCAUGAUUAGCAUAUGAAUGUGAGCUGCACUUGCAACCAUCAGAAUCAAAUAUAAACAAACAUUUCUAGAACGCGGAAAAAGAUUGAACCCUAUCAGAGAUUCAAACUUGUAAAACAGAAAAUAGAAACACUGUAACAGAGAUGCUUAACUAUGUCCUUGAAAGAGAGCAUACUCCUCCCCCGUGCAUAGAUCUGAUUGAAAAUUUAGUGGUUUGUGCUACAAAAUCAUAGUACUAUUUAUAGACCAACUGAUAAAACCAUUGCCUGCUAGAGUAUUACACGAAUAUAAUUCUACAGUCACACAUACACAGGCAAACAGAGGAGUCAACUAUACAAGAUAAUAAUACAAAGCCAAACAGAGUAGCAGUCAUACCUAUCACAAAUCUGAAAGUUCUUGCACUGAUUACAGACCCAGCGGCUUCCAGAUACCAUCAGGAUACAACAAUGAGUGCAACAAUGCUGCAAGUGAACCAUGAUAAAAUCCUCUUUCAUUGGAGAAAUGGUCUCACCAAGCUGAGUGCAGGAAAAAGGAGGGAAAAGAGUAACAUAACCAGUUAGAGUCCCUUGGGUCAUGAUAUGGAAAGGUCAAGACUAAGAUAGCAAGAUUGUAAUUUCCAAAUCUACCGGUUUAGUGCUUUACAAAGAACAAAAUCAGAGGGGGAAAAAGGCAGAAACAUUAGUAAGAAAAGAAAUUACUUUAUGCAUCAGCAGCAGAUCCUUUGAUGCAUUAGAAGAGAGAUCAGCCUGACCAGAUGCUUUCAAAGCCCUUUUUGUUAGGGUCUUUUUGAUUGUUCCUUUUUUAUUCAGCUUUCUGCCAUCUUCUUGACGAAGCUGAAUAAUUAGAUCUUCAGCAGCCCCAGGCCAGUAAUCACCAUCAAAAUAUGGCAGCCUAGCUGCUGUUACCUUCGCCUUACAUUCACCCGUAGUUAGGAAGAAAUGAUCAUAUAAAUUAGUAAGAUCAACUACAAUGUUUUCCUUGGAAGCUUUCCUUAACAUUGCUAAAUACCUGAAACAGCAUUCACAGAUACCAGGGAAAUUAAUAAUAAUGGAUUAAUAAAAUAUAACAUGUGAUGGAAAGGAAUUUAAAAAAACAAACUAUUUGCCUCACCAUUCCCGCAGUUUAUCUGAUUUGGGUGUUUUCUGAAUUUCUGGAUGACAAUAUAUGAUAUAAUCUUCACCCUUUAGUGGAGGGCAAGCCCAUAUAUAGCAACUUGUAAAACCACGCUUCUUGCAAUAUUCAAGGUAUCCAAUCUGAAAAUUUGAGGUGUAGAUCCAAAAUGUUAGACAAUGAUCUCAACCAAAUAGAUAUCACUACUAUAUGUAAAAAUGAAAAUGGUGACAAUAAUUAUCACUAAGCAGAAUCCAAUAAGAGUUUCGACUUACAAGGAUUUCAUGGUAAACAAAUGUACGGAGAGCCUCUCCAGUAACUGCUUUAACCUCAGGACGGAAAUACUUGACUGAGUCUAGGUAUGACAGAUAAACACGUCGCUGAUUUGGGAAUGCACAUUCUGAUCCAAAUUCUUGAACAUACAUCCCAAACAAGCAUACUUCAACCCCUUCAAUCUUCUGAAACAAUAAAACUACCUAAAAGAGAAAAACAUAACUUGAUGAGCAUUUGAUAAUUACAACAAAAGUGCCAUUUUCAGCAUACAAGCAUCUUACAAAAUCUAUCAAAAAAUGUAAAUAAAGCAUACAUUCAAUUUAAUUAGUUAUGGCCAAACCUUUGAUUUAUAUGGAAACUCUAGCGGAUAAUUCUCUUCUUGAAAGAUUUCAAGAAACCGUGGCUUCACUUCCAGCUUUUUGUCAACCGAUGAAACAACUCUAACCACAAGUGCCUCAGCACCAGGAACCUGGAAAAAACAAAGAAAAAAGGAAAUAAGCUUGUUAUGCAUCCCAAGUCCAUGAGAAGUCACUGGAAGUUAUUUUGAAAGACCAGAAAUGAAAUCAACAAUAAGAAGAAAUUCCAUAUAAAGAAGGAAGUUAAUGGGCCCAAGUUGAAGGAAUCAGAAGUUUUAAGUUCUCCCCCCAUAGAUAAUAAGCUUAGUGACUAUCUGACCUAUAACUGGCUAGUGGAUGGCAAAAGUUGGUAAGAUCCAGUCACCCCCUUUUUUAAAAUUCUCCUAGCCAUACAAAAAACAAACUUCAUGCAGAAAGCUCAAUCAACAGCAAAAAAUAUGCUUCAACUUGUAUCAUUUCUACAGCUUUUGUUUCUACAGCAUAUAGCUAGGAACAAGCAAGCUUAUUUGAUUAUGACCACAUUUCUUCUUCUGUUUUUUCCUUAUUCAUCGUUUUGUCAGUACGUGCGUAGCAAAAGGAUAACCACAUACAACAAAGAAUCAACUGCCAUCAUGAGAAUAGUAAUCACCUCAUCAUAACUCUUUCCUUGAACUUUGGCCCUCUCUUGUCUUUCCUGUUUCAGUCUCCUAAAUAAUCGCUGCUCUAUGUGGUCACUGAGGAUUGUUCUUGGCAAAUCUUUGGCGCCAAGAACAGCACUCUGAGGUAAGGGCUUCCGCUCCCCUCUUUCAACCUCUUCAAUAUAGCAAUUGGGGCAUGUAUAUUCAGCUUGCCCACCAUCAUUCCUUCUACCAUUAAAUAAAGCACAAAUUUGAUGCUGCCAAGCCUCACACUUAUCACAUUGAACCCACUGCACAUUUUUAUUUAAGACAAACAAAAAUGUAAGAGAAAAUGUUAGGGCUGACCAUGAAACAUAAUAAUAAAGUAUGUAUUGUAUUGUUACUAUCGUGCAUACCCAUUCUUCAGUCUCUUCAUCAUUUUUCUUCUUCUCGAGCCUUGCUUUAGGAAUGGCAGUUCCAUCAACAACAAUGCUAUCUCCACGAGAUUCAUUGUGGCAUGGAAUACAAAAAUAAUGUCGCGUAUCACCAGCACCCACUGUGUAGUACAUUGCAUUGCGCUUAAUGCGAGCACCACAAUGGCUGCAAUAAAUAGGUGGUGGUUCAAAAGUGAGUCUCUCAACUGCACAUAACUGACAGGAGUUCUCACUCAUAGAGUGCUCCAUCGCUUGAUUCUUUUCAGCUUUCGCUUUACUCUGUAAAAGAAAUAAAAGAAAAAUGACUAUCAUCAAUAUACCCUGUUCAGUCACCAAGUCCAUUUCUGGCCUACCAAGUAGUAUGCUUGCAUGUAUAUAACCUCCUACAGCUUUCAAUGAUCUCCAUAAUGCUACAAACGGUAUCUAAAACAAAUCACAACAAUAAAAUAUAGUAUACCUGGCCAACCCAUUGUCUGAGACCUGUAAUAUGCUCCCGAACUUGCUCCGGGGUGAACAGUUCAGUCAGUGAAACCCCUUUUAUUUUUGGUUUCCCAGACUUAUUUCCAGCUGCACCUUCAGAAGACUGUGUAACAUUCUCUGGUUUAACCAAGUCAGGUUCCUUCUCAAUCUCAGCAUUUUCUUGCUUACAAAGACCACCAAAUUCAUCACUUGUAAUAGGCUCAGCAUCAGAUUUCUGUUUGCUAAUGUCUUCCAAAACAUCCUUCAUCUCAGUAAUAACAGGACUACCUUUAGCAGAACUCAUGGGGACAUCCGUCUUCACUUCCAUAGGCUCAGAUUUAACUGGCAUACGCCUGUCAACAUAUCUGUAAUCUUGACGCUGGAUAUCCUGAGAUAUGUGAGUUUCAGUAACAACACAACCUGAUGCUAAAGGACCUUCACUUUUAGCAAUAACAGAUUGAGAAGAUUGUUCUAUCUUCAUGCGUUUCAAUGAAGGCUGUAUGUCUACAGAAGUCUCAAUUGCUGCAGAUGUAGAAGUUAUUCUAGUUGAAAUGUCUCCAGAACUAUCUGUUUUCGUAGAUAUACUGUCCGAUGAUGGCAAGAUGGAAGUAGAGUUUAGACAGGCACGUGCCUUCUGAGCCUGUACAUAAUUGUUAACAGGAACACAAACAGGGCAGGCUGGAUAUCUACAAGUCUUGUGAUGACGGAUCAAUAUCUUGGAGUGAUGGCAACGAGGAUAUGAACAUUGAGAUGAUUGACAUGAAUCCAUAUGAGAUAACAAUUUUCGUACAGUAAAGCAAUAGCCAUCACACUUGCCCUCAGAUGCUUUACAUCUACGAGCAUGGCGCAGUAACAAAAGCCACCUCACUUGAUUUCGGAAUUGCCUGUCAUGGCUCCCACUUCCAGAUUUAGAGAUAGCACCCCUCGAAUUUGAAAGAUUCGAUGAGCUUUUAGGAAUAGUGGAUGCACCGGCAGAUAAAUUAUUACAUUGAGCUUCAUCCUGCCCAGAUAUUCUCUGCUGGAAAUCCUCUUGGACGUGCUGCUCGCGUGACAUGUUCACUGGCAUUUGAGACUGCUCUUGCGAGUGAGGGAGCCACUGGCCCUGCACAGCUGAUUCUGGCGGUGCUCCAGCUGAAAGUUUAUAAUCAUUUUGUGACUCCGGAACCAAUUGGUGUUGGUGCAACAUCCGUUGCAUUUGUUGAGAAUUUUGUGGAAGCGAUGAAUGCAUAUCCUGCUGACUAGAGAUCUGUUCAGCAUGAUUCUGCUGGAAUUGACUCUGCGAUUCAGGAAGCUGAAAUUGUCCAGGAGCUUGUUGAUGUAGAACCUGGCCAUGGAGUUCCACUCCAGGUUCAUGCUUCACUUGACUACCUAUAUCAGAAGCCAUCUGAGGCUGACUAUAACCACUAUUAUUGCUCGUCAAAUUUUGAUGCUGCUGAUUUUGCUGUGGAUGGUGUUGCUGUUGCAGAAACUGCUGUUGCUGGAACUGAAGGGACUGCUGCUGGAACUGUUGCAGCUGAUUAGCUUGAAGGACAUUGUCUCUCGAAGAAACUGGAGGUUGGAAAUUCAUCUUUUCAAAAUUAUCCAUGGACUGCGGAUUCAUAUGGGCAGCCGAUUGCAUACCAUGUAAAUUUGACUGAUUGCUUAUCAAAGAAGAAUUUGCUCUGGAUAUAGGCUGCAAAUUGACUGGAUCUGAAUUCUGAGAGUUUGUUAUAGAUCCAACAGAUGUUGCAGAGCCAUACAAGUUUCCAGACCCAAAAGAAUCAGCAUUGUUCAUUCCAUAUCCAUCACCUGACACAAAUCAAAACAAAUAUAUAUUUGCUUUCCUUAAGAAAAACUUGAAUAUUUCAAUAAUAAAUCGCAUAUUCAGAUUCAUUAUUACUAAAUUAAAAGGUGAUAGAGAGGAAGAAAUAAAUUCAUAAGGUUACCUUGCAUCAGGGGUCGCUGAUGUUGAUCAAAGUGUUGUUGCAAAGGUUUUGGUGAAUUAGCAAAAGGCGUGGUAGUCUGAUAUCCUCCAGAAGUUCCUGGUUCAUUAAAAAUGAGCAUAUUGUUGCCCAUCAUCCCCAAUGCACCAUUUAGGGAAGCAUUAGGAAACCCAAAAGUUUUCUGCUGCAAGCCAGACCUGAUGCCACUACCUAUUUGGCUGCCAAGGGUGUGCAAAAUACGACUGUUUUGACCACCAUGUUGCUUUUGCUGCUGUGGCUGAGAUGACAUCGUUGAUUCAACAGUUGAAAGUGCAACAUUAUUGGAAGACUGAUUAUUAAUGCUAUUGUUAUUACUAUUCAAUCCAGGAGUGGGAAUCAUUUGGCUUGCCAUUCUUUGCACACCAAUUGAUGACAUUCCACCAGAAGCAAUAUGAAAAUUUGCACUUGGAUGUUGAUACCCAUUAGAUAUAUUUCCUACAAAAGUACCAACCUGUUACCCUCGGAAAAAAAAUGGUAUUAAAAUAUAAUUGUAAAAGAAGGUAAGGCUCAAUUUUACCUUCAGAUCUACUGAAGGAACCACUAUUCAUGCCAGCAGUAGGCAACAGACUUCCUGUAUUGACAUUCGUAGGAGGUAUGCUUGCAUUGGCAGCACUCAUAGAUGUAUCUAUAGAAGAUGUAACCAUGAGGCUAGGAUUGCCACUGUGUGACAUGCCAGGGGUCGGUAUCAUUGUACCAACUGGUGCUGAUCCCGAAUUAACAAGCUGAGCAUGUCUUUGGUUGUGCACAUUUCUACUAUUCCUUAUUAGAAUCUGUAGACGUUGCUCUAAAGUACUCAAAUUGGUGUAGUCCUCCUAGAAAACAAACUUCAAGUGUUAAAAUUCGCCCCGGUUUUUUUUCUCUUUUGGGGGAUUAAGAAAGUUGUACACAUACAAAUAAAUGUGAUCAGACGAAUGCAAAGUAAUGUGCUUCUACAGAGUGAAACAAAUAAAUUUACAAGUGUAAUGGGUCCAACCUUUGUGCGUGCAAUCUUAAAUAAACCUUCUUCCAACCGUCUUGCAAAAUCCUGAAACUUGAUCAUUGAUGCCUCGGUAAUAGGAUGUUGCUGGCGUGAUUUUAAAAACUUAAUGCUGGAAAAGAAGAGAUAAUAAAUUGCAUUAGUUAACCAAAAAGAACGCUACACAUAGAUAUUAUAACAAAAAAUUCUAAGAUGGAAAUGCCCAUCUUGAUACAUAGAUUGACCAGAUAUAGAAGCUAAAUAGCAAUAAUGAUGAUAUAAAAUCAAUGACAAAAGAAAAUUUCUAUUACAUGUAAUAUAAAUAUUCAUCUGCAUAUCAAUGUGAAAUUAUAUAGUAAAGAUAGGAUAAUAACAUACAUAGACACCACGUAAUUGAAGUCUUAACACACACACACACAUGGAGAUAGGUAGAGAGAGGGAGAGGGUUCUACAACUUGGAAUUGAACCAGAACAUCAAUGUAUAUCCCAAAAAGAAUCAACAUUACCAACAAGGUCAUAAAAUCCUACACAAACAGAUGGACAACUAUUUAAACCAAAAGAUCUUUGUCAGUCUUUCUUUGCACAACAAGCUGACCUAUGAAUUUAUGUGAAAUGUCAACAUCUAAAUCCUACAGCCUUCAUGCAAUUGAGUUAUUUUGUAUGGUAAAUUUUAAGCAUAUUUAGUAGUAGCAGAAAAUCAAAUACAAACAUUAUCUCAAGUCUCAACUAAAUGGUGCAAAUUACACUGGUAUGGAACUAAAAAAAACAAAAAUGCCACCAUUCAUAACAAAAGAAUGUUACUAAAAGGCAACCAAGCAUUCAGCAGCAAAAGCAAACCCCAAACAUGUACAAUUGUAUAUGCAGACACACAAAAAGAAAACAAUGAAAAGCAUACAAAUAUUGGUAUUAAACAGCACUCAGACACCACUCACUCAAUGCCCAAGGCAGAUUAUAUUUCAAAUUUCUCCUUAAUUCAAAACGAAUCAGAUAACAUAUACCAGCAUUUAAUACAACACAGAAAAAGAAACCAAAACUAUUGGUAUACAAAAUCUUACAUUUCUCCCCGCAUGUAAUCACGUGUUCUCAUCAGGUCAGGAUCCAUAUUCAACAUAUUAUGUGGAGGAACACUACUGCCAAGAACACCAGAAACACCUCCAGCAACCCCUAAAUUCUGCAUCUGGGAAGGCUGAAGCAGGUUCCCAUUUUGCUGGGGUAACCCCCCUUGAUUAGGAACCUGUCCAGAUAUCUGUCCUGACAUAUGCGUCUGCACAUUCAUUUCUUUCUAUAUUCCUUCUUCGUUUUCGCCUUGUCUUGGUAACUACCACUACUAGAAAAAAACCCAUAACUUAUUCCACAAUCUCGCUGUAAAAUUGCACCAUCCACCACCACUCAUGCUUCCUUUUUUUCCCCCUCCUCUAAUUGUCAUUUCGAAUACUGCAGUUUUACAGCAUACCUGUAUCUUAUGUACCCUGCUUAUAGACAUACAGGAAAAUUGAAUAAAUUAACCCAAAUUUCUAUGAUUCAAUCUCAAUUUAAAAAACAUCACAUUGUUUAACAACAUUGAAACUGAAAUUAGCUAAUAAUGAAAAUUAGGGGAAUUUAAAUCAACGAAGCAAGAAAAUCCCCAAUUUGGGGAUUCCUGGAUAAAAUGCAAUACUAAUUAGUGAAUUAAGCAGUAAGCAAGAACUAACCCUAGGUUAAUAAAUGAAAAGAUAAUAAUUUCCUAAAACAAUCAAGAAACGAAAACCCUAAAAACCAACCUGAGGAAAAAUACAAAAUCAAAGCAGAAGCAAGAGAAGCUACGACCGAAGCCUCGGGAAUUCCGAUGGUAAGACCCAGAAUCGCGAGGACGAUGAUGGCGAUCGGAAAAUAAGAAGGGAACAAAACACCGCCUGAAUCGCACGUGCGUUCAAUACCGAGACACAGAUGAAGAAAAAAAAAAGAUCGAAAAGAGAAAGGGAAAGUACGGGCGACCGGAAUUAAUUUUUCUGGGCUUGGGGUCUGAAAUUUUUUUAAAAAUAAUAAAUAAUAAUUUGAGAUUAAUCUUUUUUUGUUCUUUUUUCCUACAGCGAAAAUAGAAAUUUUAAGUAUGCAUUUAUAGCUUAUUUGACGAUAAGUUUACUUAUUUGACGUCGAUGAUUUUUUCUUUUCUUUUUGAAGUAAUUUUUUUCUUUUAAUUCCUUCAGGGUUCUUUUUAAACAUAUUUUUUAAUUUCUUAAUUUUAUAAAGGAGGAUAAUAGUGAUAGUUGUAAGUUGUAAACAAUUAGACGCGCGGCUGCCGCAGGUGAAUAUACUUCAAUGCUUCAUUUUCUUUUUUCUUUUGAUAUUAUUCAAUAGAAAGUAGUAAGUAGGGGUAAUAUUCAAGAUGCAUAAAUUAUAAGAAAUGAAAAUGGAGGGUAGUAGGAAUUUGUUGUCUUAGGAUAUUUAUUAUGUAUUAGGGAUAAUUUGUUCGAUUAAUAACUAAUUAUUAAUUUAAAAAAUAAUUAAUUGAUUAGGCCCAAUUUUCUUUUCUUUUUUCUAUUACACCUUUUGUUUCUUGAGUCCUUUUAUAGACCUUGUAUCCCACAUUGAAUUUGGUAUAUUUUUAUUAUUUUCAGUUAAUUUAUCCCCUGAGAGUUGAACCAAUACAUACAUCAUCAAAAUUUCAAAGAAGAUAAAAAGUAAUUCGAUUCUUAUUUAUCACCAACUAAUUAAUUCCAUUUUUACCAUAUUGAUUUACUUACACGUUAAUAGACUUUCUAAACUAUUUUAUUUUCACCAGGGCAUUUGAGAAAACAAAAACAAUAAAUAGAACAUAAAAAUAAAUUAUUUGAUAUGCCGAUUGAGUCUUAACUCGAUUAACAUAGGUAUUGUUGUCAGUGCAUGAGUAUAUGAGUUUGAGUGUACUAAAGCGCAUUAUCCUCCUAUUUAAGGGUUGGGGAGGGGCUACAGAUAGUUAUAGGCAUCGUAUCAAAAAUAACAUAUAUGGUAAAAAAUUAUAAUAUUUGAAAUUAAAAGACUAGUAAUAAGCUGACUUCUUUUCUUACAUGAGUUAAAUCGAUCAUUUUUUUUUUCUGAAAUUUUUUGAUAUAAUAACUUAUUAAGAAGUUUUUAAUUAAAUAAUUUAAUGAUGUUUAUUUUCAAAGUGUUACAAAAACUCAAAAAUAAAUUUUUAAAAUGCUUUGAUUUAUUACCAAAUUUCAAACAAGGGUAAUGUAUAAUCUUGAGUUACUAAUACAUUUACUAAAGUACAGAUAAAACAAUCUAAAAGACAAAGUAUUGAUGAUAAAAAAAUUUCGUGCUCUAUUAAACACUAUAGCUGAAAUAAAUUUGUCUGAAAUAAGUUACUCAAUAUCAAUUUUUUUACUUUUAAAACAUAUAAUCUCAAACAUUAUCAUUAUUAUUUUUUAUUAAAUUCUAAUAAUACCAAAUAAUUUUUAGAUUAAAUAAAAAUUAUUUAUAUUUACAACUUGACACUUAAAUUGUUUAUAAAACUUAUAUUUAAAAGCAAACAAUGAGUUUCUUUUUUUUCUAUAUGAUUUAUGUUUAUUUAUUAAUUACAUUACAUUAAACUAUUUAUCGAAUUUUAAAAGCUAUAAUUAAUUAAUUUGGCCACGAAAAGGUAUAAUUAAUACCAUGAAAUAAAAAUGUAAAAAAGGAACACCAAUAAUGCAUAUUCAUGUGUUGUGUACAAGUGCAACAUAUGUGAUUUUAUAUGUUGUUUACUCUUAACUGUUAACGGGAUCAACAUGUACGUACGUACAUACGUACGUACGUAUGUAUGUAUAUACACGAGGAAUUAGUGUAAAAUUUAGUAGUUUCCCCAGUGCCAAGUUAAGCAGAUUAACCAAAAAAGCAAUGAAAAGAAUCUUCUAUUAAAGAAAUGAAGAGAUGGUGAGGGAGUCAAGAGACUGGAGAAAGCUUUGAUUAAAAGCUCUGUAGAUUUGUAUAUAAUAUAUAAAUGUUCUCUUGACAAGCAAAACAAGUUAAAUUCGCAAAACAAGUCAUAUUCUGAUUAUAGUCAGAUUCUGAUUAUACGACUCGUAGAAGCAAAACUACGAUCGAUGAUUACGCUUACAAGUCUGAGAGUUCAUCUCCUACACAACAUUUAGCUGUUUGAGCCAUGCUGUAUGCAGAGGACAUGGAUCUGGUUUUCCCUCAGCAAUUGCCUUCUCAGAGAUUGAGUAGAACCAUCCAUUCCUCCACUUGAACUGUAUGAAUAUGAACAAUAAUGUCUUAGAAAGGAACGCACAAAUUAUGAUACUCAUAAAGUAUAUUCCUAUAUCGUGACCUGCAGUUUUUUACCUCUUUAACUGCUGUUGGGAAGUGGGCCACAGCUCGAGAAUAAGCACAUAGCCUAUCCUCCAUAGCUUCUUCAAAUGUUAUACCUUUCUCCGCUGCAGCAGCAGAUGCGAGCUCUGCUAUGAGGCUUGACACCUGAAAACUUAGAUUUCAGGUCUUACGGUCAACUUAUAGAUACAUAAUCAGCAAGGCUGAGAGAUUUGAAGAACAAAUAGUUUAAAUAACAAUAUUUCUGUAUCUAUUCACCUCAUGCCAUAGUUUUGCCAGUUCUAAAACGAUUGAAAUGAUAUUUUUGUUUGAGAAUUUAUUUUUAGGAAAUAAAAUGGGAAUGGUGGGCACUUCCACAAAAUUAAUGAUCCAACUAUUUACUACUGAAAAGAAAGCAGCACCUCAGAGCGGUAUUCCUUCUCUACAACGCCUACAGUUGCCCCAGGAUGACGAGCUCCAACAAGCAUGAAUGCACAAAUCCAUAUGAGCUUCUCCAACAUCUGCUUCUGAAAUGCUUCUUUGUCAAGAACCUGGUCAGACAAACCCGAAGAAAAUACAGAAUAAAAUUUGUUAGUGGCACUUAAGGCUUGCUCUCAAUAGUCAAUUUAUUUCUCCAAUGUGAUCCCUAAACCUACAACUUUAUACCGCUUUAAUCCACUAGUUAGUAGAACCAUCCACCAUGACAUGAACACUCUUAAUCACCAAUAAGGAAACAAUACCACAAGAACAAUAAUCAAUUGGCCAAAUCAAAUAAUGAUUCAAUUAUUGCCCAACUUCCUCUUUCACCAUGCCUCUAUCUAUAUGAAUGUCAGAAAAUUUCAAUCCCUUUCUUGUAUCUAUAGGUGUUGCGUAUUUCCCUUCCUUCCAAAGGCGGGAGGAAAACACUCUUUCAUUUCACUUAAAUUAAUAAUAUUAUUUUGAACUUUACCCCUAAAUUUCUUUCUUCCCUUCUAUUUUCAAUCAUUCCUAUCAAAAGGAAAAGCAAACUUCCUUCCUCUUUUUCCUUCUUUUUUUCUUUCCUUGCUUUUCUCCAUUCCUACCAAAAAUAAUAACCUUUGGCCAAAAAGAGAAAAAUGUUUGAGCAUGAACUUAACAUGAAGAAAAUGUUCAUUGGCCAGUAGUGCACCUUUUGGAGGAUAAGACUCAUGUUACCCGGGCUUGUAUGUUUGUGUCUAAUACCUGAGUUGGACACAAAUUUCGACAUAGCUAUGGAAAUGAUGCUCCAAAUACAUUGAAAAACUUUAAAAAAGAAAAAGAAAAAAAGAAGAAGGUAUAACUGUGUCAGAUAGUCAAAUAGGAUAAUAGAAAAAAUAUAUCUUUUACCUUGCAAGAGAGGCCUCCAGCAUUUAAUCUGGUAGCUAUAGCAGAUGCCCAUUUCCCAUAUGCCGCAGUUAGACCUUCAGGAUUUGUGUCAGUCUUGCCAUCAAUAGGAGGUUCUCCAAGCUUCGCUACAGCAAAAUAUGCCAGCACCUGCUCUGCAUCAUUAAGACCUUUGCUUUGAAGCCAUGGCUCCAGCAUGCCAUUCUGGAAAAAAACCAAAUCUGCUAGAUCAUCAACACCCAGUGGUUGAUCAAAUAAUUUUGAAUUGAAUAAAAAAAAACUGGAAGUCAAAUGAGAACGAAUAAACAUGGCAUUAGUACAUAAAUUACGGAGGAAAUCAGCACGAAUAACAACGUAAGUCAACUAUGUAAUGAUACUCAAUUUUCAUCCACUUGCUUAAAAAAAGUUCAUUGAAAGUUGAAAGACCAACAAGGAACAGAGCAUUAUUAAAUUUCCACAUAAAGCUCCAAACUCCAUUGAAUCAAACUGUUUAUAAGGAAUAUAAAAAGGGGAUUCCUCAUAAUCAUCCAUAGACAAUUAAUCAAAAACAUAACAAAAGAUGAAACCAUUUUAAAAUAACCAAAAUGAGCAAAGAGCAGGUAUGAUUGAGGCAGAGGUACCGUUCCAACGAGAUUUAGGAGUGGCCUCAAGCACAGCCUCAAGAUCAUCAUUCCUAGUACAAACCAAUAUAGGACCUUCAAAAUCAAGCGGCACUGCUUCACCUCUCUUCACCAGCAAAUCAUCUCCCUUGCCCAUAUCUUGCAAUGCUUUUCCCACUCUUCCACCACCAACAAUAAUUGCUGGCACCACCUCGGUAGCAGUAGUCGUAGGGGGAGCAGCCAUAACAAUGGAGGUGGACUUCUUUGGAGUGAAAAAGCGUGUAGCAGUGAAAAGAGCGAGUUUGGGAGAAAUCGGUUUGGGCGAAUGGAUCCAAAGGAGAGAAGAGGUAGAGAGUGUGGCCAUGACGGUGGGUUCGUUGGUUGGUUUGGUGGUGGGCUUAGAGGCAUGGGUGCUUUGUGCUUUUUGUUUAUUGAGUGACAAGCGACAAGAAAGAAGAAGAGAACCACUCGAUUCAUGGGGUGGCCUUAUCACUUCCUGAAUUCUAUCCGAAGUAUGAAAUUCGGGAGGUAAGAUUCAGCACCGGGUGCUAGUGUGCUUCAGGCCAGACAAAAAGCCUCCCCAACAAACCAUGUCGGAUCUCUGGACCGGGCUACUUGCUUGGCCCAGAAAAUCUGAUCUUGGACAAAAGUUUUUGAACUCAGCUAUCCGAUUUUAAAUAAAUUUAAAGUAAAAUUGAUUUUACGUGUCAAAAUAAUAAUUUAGCAACCAGAACAUUGGGUUCUAUAGUCUCUUUCAAUGGCAAUAAUUUUUUAGUUGACUUGCUUAAAAUAUUAGGUGUACUCAUAACUGCUGCUUCAUAGGUUGAUUUUUAGCUUACUGCCAAGAUUAUUCUAAUCCUAAAUAAGCUAAAUUGUUUCAAUUUGUUAUAGUAUUUCUUGUUACUAAUAUGAAAUCCAAACGUAAUUUGAACUAUCGACCCAUGUAGAAAACCUGUGUCCCAUAAGAUACCCAUGCAUGUUACUAGGGUUUGCAGGUAGAGAGUGCAAAGUCAAGCACGUGGUAUGAUAAAUAUGUGUUAAAUUUAGAGCAAUAUAUGUGUUAGCUUGUAUGAAGCUUACUUAGAACGUCAUCUCGAUGAAUAAUAACUGUAUCUUAUAAAUACCUGAUUCUUCUCAUCGAUGGGACACACAACAAAAACACUCAACAAACACGAAAUAAGUGUGGAUGGUUAUUACUUAUUACACUAGUAAAUAUAUUAUAAUAAAAAUAUUAUUAUUGGUUGUAUUUUAUAUUUUUUCCCUCUAUUUGAUGUUAAUAUUUUUGUCUAGGCAAAAAUAGAGAGUUUAAAAUAUUUUCCAUACCUGAUUGCUCCUGUGGAUUAUGCCUAGCAUAGAUUUUAAUGAAGUAGCGAACAGCUGCAUCUCGCAGGACCUGUUCAUCGAGAACCCUUCUAAUGGCAACCAACAAGUGACCCCAUUUAACAUUCAAAACCCGCCCUUUAACCAUAAAAAUCAUAUUCCCUUUUUAGAUUUAUUUAUUUGGAAUCAUAAAUUCGUAAAAUAGACCAAAAACAUGGAAUAAUUGAUUCAGACCAUCCGAAUAUAUCCUUACAUUUUUUAUAUUCAAAAGUUUCAAACUCUGUUCCCGCUUCUUGUCCAUGUAAACAAAAUAGUCAAGCCCAAAUAAUCUGUAAUUAAGAACCGGUUGUCUUUCCUCAUACACAAAAGGACAACAAGCUUUAAACAGUUACCGUUAACCUUUACCCAAACACUGCGCAUCUCAAAUUCCACACAUUUCCCUAUACCUUUUUCUUUUUUCAAAUUCAAAACCCUUUCCUUUCAAUUCAAUUUGAAACCUUCAUUUCUCAAACAAAGGACUGGCUCUCAAGCAAGCUGACCAAAACCCAGAGUUCUAAAUCUGGUCCUCCGUUCUCAAACAACAAUGGGUGAGUUGAAGGAUCCUUUAGUUCAACGCCAAGCUUCAUGCAAUGCUCCGUAUGUUAAUCCUCUCAUUGACCUCAAACACAACCGCAGCUGCAGUGAAGGGAACCCUGCAUCAUUUUCAGACAACAAGGAAAAUGUUGUCUUUGGUGCUGGCAAAGAAAAUGCAGCUCCUUCAACAAAUAAUGGGUCUUCUUCUUCUGAAGUUGCUAAAAAGACUACUACCCAUUUGAAAUCGCUGUCCACUAUUGGUACUUUCGAUGCUUCCAAAGAAGUUACAAGUUACAAGUCUCUGUCCACAGGGAAGGUCUUGAAAGAAUCGUCCCUUCAGUUCUGUAUGCAAAUGAAUGAACCUGACAAGGCUUUUGGGUGCAAGUUGUGGGACCCCAUAGAUUCAGACAAUUCUGCUUCUUUGAAUAUUUGGGAUUACUCGGAUUCCGAAGCCGCCCCGGCUUCUUCUUGGUCUACAUUGCCCAAUAGGUCAGUCUCUGAACACAGCCUACUGCUUUUGCUGCUAAUUCAUGUCGUGUUUCUUACAAGUUUUUCUAAUCACUUAUAAUAUGCUGGAUGGUUAAAGUUUCAAGUCUAGUUGAUAUUUAGUUACAUGUACAAAGAGGAGAAGCUUGUUUAAACUGGGAAAGAUGUUUUGUAUACCCUUUUUAUUGAUGUGUUGUAUUUGGUGGCUUUUGUUUUAGGGCUCUGUUGUGCAGGCCGUUGCCACUGGACAUAGGAAGAUGUACUUGUGUUAUUGUGAAAGAACCCUUACCUGAUGGGUUCCAUGGCGGCACUCUGUAUUCACUUUAUACCAAUGUAAGAUCUCUUGACUUGUUAAGAACCCUGGUAACCUUUUUCAGUUUUUUCUGUAAGAUCAUCUGGAUCACCACUUAGAAUCCUUUCAUUUUUAUGUAAUGAAACAUAUAAUGAGCUGCACUAAUUCUUUAGUUCAGAUUGUGCAAGACGCAUUUACCAAUACUCUUUUAUGUUUGAUCUAUUUGGCAUUUCAACACGACAGGAAGGUAAAGGACGACAGAAUCGGAAGCUAGCGGUGGCUUAUCACAAACGACGGAAUGGGAAAUCAGUGUUUGCCAUAGCUCAGACUACCAAAGGAAUACUGUCUAAUUCUGAUGAUAGUUGCGUUGGACUCAUGACAGCUAACCUUCUUGGAUCAAAAUACCAUAUAUGGAAUCAGGUUUGAUCUUUAAAAGGUUAAACCUUCUAUAAAAUGGCCAUCAAAUAUAGGGAACAAUCCUUACUUCAAUUGGUUAAUAACUUGCUUGGUUGCAGAAUGGUCGAACCAUGUCAUCAAACAAACAAUCUAAUCCUCUCUUGGGUGUUGUAAGGUAACCCUAACAUCCCAUCUCUGUCUAAGUUCAUUUCCUUUUCACUCUCUCCCUUUUGAUUUUAUUUACUUCUUUAGGUUCAUGCCAACCAUAGCGACAUGGACCGGGAGUUACCGAAGCAUGAAGGCAUAUAUACCUAAGCACCAAUCAAUGCAGCUCAAGAAUGUGGCUCAGGUAGCUCAAAGGAUUCACUUUCUCGAUCAUCCUUGACGGGGUGUUUAUCCCCUUGUGUUAUUUUGGAUACUCUAUUACUGUGGAGCUAAAAGAGAACAUAAGAUAGAUAAAUCUCUUUGCUUUUAUGUAGAUGCAACACAUUAAUGGACUACCUAAGGACUGGGAGGAGAAAAUGGACAAAAUCCACAAGUUGUUCUCAAGGAUUCCUCGUUACAACAAAGUAAGAGUUGGGUUUCUGUCUAACCCUGUAUUUCUCAUCAUAGAAAACUGAGGUUUCGGACUUGGGUUUCUGUCUAACCCUGUUAUUGCUUUCUGUUGAGUCAGAUGUUGAAACAAUACGAAUUAGACUUCAGAGAAAGGGGAAGAGCUGCUGGACUCAGAAUACAAAGCUCAGUAAAGAAUUUUCAGCUGACAUUGCAGGUAUCAUAACGUUUUUAAACACUACUAUUAGCUAUGUAUAUACAGCAAAUGCAUCUGUACACAAACAUUUGCAAAAAGACUUAACGCAGGGAUACAUGCAAAGUAUGCGUGCAUGUGAUGGGAAACUUAUAUAAAUUUAACUCUGGAAUUGGUUUUCUAGGAGAACGGAAGGCAAACAAUUCUUCAGCUUGGAAGAGUGGAUAGAUACAAGUAUGUUAUGGAUUUCAGGUAUCCACUAACAGGUUACCAAGCAUUUUGUAUAUGCUUGGCUUCAAUUGAUUCAAAGCUUUGUUGCACUAUGUAAUUGAAGAAUCCCCCAACAUUUUGUUCCUAGUUCAACCUCUGAACCGAAGUUUCUUUCCUAGUUAAAAAAAAAAUUGACCAUUUUUUGUAAGAAAGUGACAAGCUAUGUAAACAAGCUUAGAUGAUGAUGCUUAAGGUUUUUAAGAAUCAUAGCUUGAAUCCUAAUUCUACGUACUCCAGUUAUUACUAAGGUAGCAUUUGGUGUUUUCACAUGUUAUAAUUCUAAUGGAAUGUGAUUUUUUGGAAUAUAAGUAAGUACUUAUUAGGAAGGUAUUGAUUAAAAUCCUAAAAAAGUUAGUUUAUUAAGAAUGCAAUAAUAAUUUAUGAAUUUACCCAUAUUAAAUAAAAGAUAAUAUUCAUGGAUUUAAUUAUUCUUACCAAAUAUUUGAAUUAAAUAUUUAAUAAUAAAUUUUAAUUGUUAUUUUUAAUUUUCUUAAUUUAUAAUGUUAAUUAAAAGGAAAUUUGUCUUAAAUGUAUCCUACAUAUAUUUUCUAAAUGUAAGUAAUAUAUAUAUAAAACUUGGAAUAAAUUUUUUAAAAAAACUUAUGCAUAUAUAAUACUUGCGAAGAAUCCAUUGAAGUAGCAGAGAAAAUGAAGUAGUAAGACAAAGGUAUCUUAAAUCAAUAUAAAAGUUAAUAUUAUCUUAAUAUUUUUUUAACAUUCCAUUACAUUGCUAUAUUUGUAAAAAAAAAAAAAAGUAAAUCUGAACGAACAUUUUUUAAAUAAAGUUAAUAAAAUUUGACAUUCUAAAUGUUAAAAUCACUUUUUUACUUAUUAAAUUAUUAAGAAAAUGAACAUUUUCUAAAAUUGGGUUAGUUUAAAUUGGAUUAAUUUAUUCCUUUCCAUGGCAAUGAAUUCAACUCCCACUUUGCUAAGCAGUCACCAUUCUUCCCAUGCUGAAGUAAUCGCCAUCCAUGCUCAAACUAUUAUUUUAAUAGUUUUAUUUAAAUUUAAUCAUAAUAUAUAUAAAUAUUAAUAUUAAUAUUAAAAUAUUGUUUUAAUAGUGAUAACGAACUAUUGCUAUCCAUGAACAAUAAAAUUCUAAAAAUGUCCAUUCACAGCCCAACCCAUCCUCCUGACCACAUAUAUCGCUACCGACAACCAUAAACCAACGACCUUAUGAAAACCAAUUCAACAAAUAAAACGACGCAACGUUUAUCUAAAAAAAAAAAAAACACCCCAACAACUAGGCAACGUUGCUUUUAAUUUGCAUGCCUCACAACUUACAAAAGCAAAAACGCAGAACCAUACUUUGAAAAUAAAUAAAAAGCACGCCCAAAAUUAAAUACAUGGCUCAGGCUUGGCAACAGCUACCAAAUUACAACACUGAUGUUUCCUUUUCUUUAAUUAAUUCACAUGCCCAAAUGCUUCUCCCCUAAUUUCCUUUUUUUUUUCACUUUAAUUAUUGUCAAUCAAGUUUCUUAGCCAUCAAACGUGAUACACCAAUAAAUUAGAUAUAUUGUAUUUAAUGUCGAUUUUAUACGUUCCUUUUUCUUUCUUUCUUUUUAAAAAUUAAAUUAAAUUCAUGAGUGGAGAUUAAGUUUACAGUUUCCUGUUUAUAGCACAUCGUUAGUUUCAGUUUCUUUAGUUACUCUUCACAUGAAAAUAAAGAAUGAAUAAUUAUAUUUAAGAAAUACAUAAGGUAGGUAAAAAAAGAAUGUCCAUUUCAAUAUUAGUUUUGAAUAACUCAAUAUUGUAGCUGAUGGAUGGACAAACCAUUAAAACGUGAUAGUAAAAAUAUGAUUUGACGGAAAAUAUUAAACACAAUAUAAUAUAUCAAUGUUUUAAAUUUUAUAUGAAUUAUUAAUAUAUAUUUUGAAAGAAUGAAUUAUUAACCCAUUAGAAUUUAUUCAAACAUAAAAUAGGUGGAUACAUAAAUUAUGAUAUCUAACCUUUGUGGGCGUUUAAUUUAACAAGAAAAAGUAGAUGUACGCUACCUCUCUACGAAUUUCCAUUUCAUUAAUUAACACCGCAUGCGUAGCGUUCUCAAUUUUCAACCUUCAACUCCUAACAGCAAAAAUUGUUGGUUUAAUUGGGCAGCUCUCAUAGAUGUCAUUUGGUCUUUAACACAUGCAACUCACCAUGCAUGCAUGCAUCACAUUGCAAAUCAUAAUUCCCUAUUUUCUUACUAAUGAAGUUAGAGAUAGAUUUAAAUGUUUAUAAUAAGCAACCUUCUUAUCAUAAGAUGUGGAUUUUUUUUUCAUCUUCACGUUUUACAGACAAGGACAAUGUUUGGAAUCUUUUGAAUGGGACCAAAAUAAAUAUAUAUAAUUUUAAGAUCAGUCAAAGUUAUAAUUUUUAACUAAGCCAAAAAAAAAAAACUAAAUAAUAUCUUUUAACAAUGUAGUGGAGAAGAACCCUUUAAUUUUCAUAUAUAUCAUACCAAUAAAAGAAAAAUAUAUCUUCAAUGCAUGGUUGCUGUUGGGUAUGGGUCCCACUAUGUGGAAAACCCAUAAUUUCUGCCACAUUUUAUUGUCUCUUUUUGGUUUUGUCAAAAACCAUUUUUGGGGGGCUUUUAACGGGUGAUGUGGGCAGAAAUUUUUGCAGAGCUAAACAAAAAAAAAAUCUCAAAUUAAAACAGAGAGAAAGAGAGAAGAAAAAAAAUCAGUUUUUCAAGCUUGGUGCAGCAGUGAUCAACUCCUCGAUCGAAGGUCCAUCCGUGGUUCGAUUGAGCUGAUUUUUGGACAGCAGCUAGGUGAUAAGGUGUUCUUGACUUUGUACGGUCGGAUUUUUCAUCCGAGACUUGUAGCGUCGGAAAUACCCAUUUUUCAGCAGCUACGUUUUUGGUG
rnacentral:lncRNA from 1 species